GUAUUAAGUUGCAAGAGGUAAUUCUGGGCCCCAAAUCUCACAGAUUCAUUCCUGAAUACGUCAUUUGUCUUAUAUCCCAGCCAUGCUUCCAGAAUCUUCUGCUCAUUGUCACCAGCAAGACAGAAUGAAUUGAUCUCUGAGAGUUACAAGAAAUUAUCCUGCUUCGAGACAAUGAGAAAGAUGUCAACAUGAAACUACACAUGAAAAUUGUAACUGUGUAGGUUGGAGCCAGGAGGCAGGCGCGCAGCUCUGUGCAGUGGACCUUGGGAGCUGUAACUUGAAGGAAUCUCAGGCUUUG